UGCAGUCUGCUGAGGACCAGCAGCACGACAUGAAUCCGAUUCCCCUGUUAUUGAAGAAUCUGUCCUCAAGCUCUUUGCUGCACACAGCAUUACUGUGAAGACAUACAGCAAGCAUCAAAGGUGCCUCUCAAGGCAAAGCCAAUGCCCAAAGUCACAUGGUUCAAAAAUGGCAUUGAGGUGAAAGAGGAGGAGAAAGUGGUGGUGGAGAAAGCCAGUGACUGCAUUCACAAUCAAAACCUGUAUGAGUGUGGCAGUGGAGCCAUUAUGCUGAAUCUGAAAGAGACAGGUGUCUCAGCCUGAAGUUGAAGAUGUCAAGAAAGAAGAUGUCACCAUCACCUGAAAUUUCCCAGCCCAGAGUGGAGGCUCCUAAAUCCAAGGCUACAUCAUAGAAAAAAACGAAGAAAGUCUUUGUGUGCAGUCACCAAGGAGCCCAUCCAAGGUCAGACCAAGAUUAUUAUCUGUUUUGUGUAGGCAGAAGGAAAGUUAGAUAAGCUUUGAAU